AAAGUGCCAGAUUUCUUUAACUCCAUUUUGGAUCUGUCUUUUUCAAAUACUAGAUCCUAAAAUAUGUUGUUCUUCUUGGCAGUAGGGUUGGUGGCAGUGGAGUGAACCUUGUUUUGUAUCCUUUUUUUUUUUUUUUUGUCUUAGUGACUGUUUGCAAGAAGAGGGUUGUGCUUUUUAAAUUGAGGAUUAACUUGAAACCUCCGUGCUGAUUAUCAGCGGGAAAAUACGAAAGCAUUCUUGAAUAAAAAACUUCUAAUUUAUCUUUCCCCCAAAAUAAUAGGAGAGGAGAAAACGUAUGAAUAUAACUUCACAACUGAUGACCUCUACUCCUCUAAUAUGCUGCCGAUUUUUAACUAGUGUCAUAUUGUCAAGCAAGCAAGAACCAGCAAGAUUAACUAAGCUGCGGAUCCACAAGUCAAGCCAGAGGCAAACACGUCCUUCCCUUCUUGCAUUGCACUGAGACUUUUGGAGCAGGGAAAAACCUGUGUGAAAAGAUCUGGGGAGCCACUGCUUUGCAUGGAAAGAAAGCAACAUCGUAUCAUUAUCUUUCUCCUUGGACACAAAGAUUUUACUCCUUUCCUAGCCAGUCUGAUUCCCCAGCAGACAGUUGGAAUUUGACCUAGUUGAACAAAAGUGGAAGUGCUACAAAUUCAGUCUGAAAAAAAGAAUACUGGACAAUUGAUCAGAAAGGAGUACUGUGAUUAGACCAGCUUUCUCCAACCUACUGCCUACAGUGCCCUCGUCCUCUGUCAGCAUGGUAUAUUGGCUUGAAAUGAUGGUUAUUAUUCAUCCCACUUAUGAGAACAUCACCUUGGAAAAGAUAAAUGAAAGAAACGAGAACAUACACCAUGGCCAAAAGGAUCAAACAGCUUCACCAUCUUAGCUUGUUAAACCCAGAUAGAUAGAAUUGAACCAUAAUA